rnacentral:rRNA from 1 species
AACGAACGCUGGCGGCAGGCUUAACACAUGCAAGUCGAGCGCCCCGCAAGGGGAGCGGCAGACGGGUGAGUAACGCGUGGGAAUCUACCCAUCUCUACGGAAUAACGCACGGAAACGUGUGCUAAUACCGUAUACGUCCUUCGGGAGAAAGAUUUAUCGGAGAUGGAUGAGCCCGGGUUGGAUUAGCUAGUUGGUGGGGUAAAGGCCUACCAAGGCGACGAUCCAUAGCUGGUCUGAGAGGAUGAUCAGCAACACUGGGACUGAGACACGGCCCAGACUCCUACGGGAGGCAGAAGGGGGGAAUAUUGGACAAUGGGCGGAAGACUGAUCCAGCCAUGCCGCGUGAGUGAUGAAGGCCCUAGGGUUGUAAAGCUCUUUCACCGGUGAAGAUAAUGACGGUAACCGGAGAAGAAGCCCCGGCUAACUUCGUGCCAGCCGCCGCCGUAACAC